rnacentral:rRNA from 1 species
CCGGCACGGGUGAGUAACACGUAUCCAACCUGCCGUCUACUCUUGGACAGCCUUCUGAAAGGAAGAUUAAUACAGGAUGGCAUCAUGAGUUCACAUGUUCACAUGAUUAAAGGUAUUCCGGUAGACGAUGGGGAUGCGUUCCAUUAGAUAGUAGGCGGGGUAACGGCCCACCUAGUCUUCGAUGGAUAGGGGUUCUGAGAGGAAGGUCCCCCACAUUGGAACUGAGACACGGUCCAA